UUUUUUUUUUUGCAAAUCCUAUUUGGUUCAAACUCACAGUAAAAUACUGAAUUAUUAAACUAAACAUUGUUCCCCUGUACACCACUUCCAAUCUUCCAGCAUGGAAUAAUGGACGGGACCAGGUACCCCCUACCCACCCCUCUUGUAAUAGGGAAGAACAACUUUGACUCUAUAUUGAAUCUGUUCUUUUUAUUUUGACCUUACUUUAAUUCUUGUCCUCUGUCACUUGUGCUAAGUCGUCCUGGCUCCGCUCCUUUUGCAAAAAUAUGCCGCCUACAGGAUGCUCCCUAUAGCCUGAAAUACACAGCCUCUUCUUAGGGCCAUGACCUUUAAGAGUAUUACAUUUUUAGACAAAAACUUGCAGAACAGAGAAUAACAUCUGUUUUGUUGGAGCUUUACAGGAACACACCAAGAAAUCUGCGACAACUAACAAUGCCCCUCCCUCAUCCUGCCUUUAAAAGGGCUUUGAUGAAAGCCUUCAGGGAGUUCAGGGCUUUUGGAGGCACAAGUCAUCCAUCUCCUUGCAUGGCCCUGCAAUCAACCUUGCUCUGCUCCAAAUUCUGAUCUAUCAGUAUUGUUUGGCCUCAGUGUGCGUCGCGCAUAUGGAUUUGCGUUGGGUAACAGUCUUAAGAAAUCCCAGAUUAAUAACAUUUUCAAGCUGAAAAGGUCAUUAGAGAUCUCCAAACCGAAACAAUUCAUAAACAGAAGAAAACUGCGGUUCAAGAGGAUUCUCUUUCUCAAAUGAUGAAGUUAGUGAGUCGCAGAUACUGGACAAACAUCUGGGAGCCCCAGGGCCCAUUUUGGUCUUUUUGCUCUGACCACUAGGACAAACAUGUGAAAGAGAGAAAAGCUUUCAAACAUUCGAAACAUUUUUGCAAACAUUUUCAAGAUGCUUUAAAAUAUACCCUUUUAUUUAAAAGACUGGAAGAGGAAAUUCCAGUUGUGGCGCAGUGGAAAUGCAUCCGACUAGUAUCCCCAAGGAUGAGGGUUUUGAUCCCUGGCCUUGCUCAGUGGGUUAGGAAUCUGGCGUUGCCGUGAGCUGUGGUGUAGGUCGAAGAUGUGGCUCGGAUCUCACAUUGCUGUGGCUGUGGCUGUGGCCAGCAGCUACAGCUCUGAUUCAACCCCUAGCCUGGGAACUUCCAUAUGCCUCGGGGUGUAGUCCUAAAAAAAUAAAUAAAUAAAAAUAAAAAUAAAAGACUGGAGGAAAAGAAACAACUUCUGGUGGGAUAAUGGAUAUUUUCCCCUCUUUCUAGUAUCUUAAUCACAAAUCAUCGGUCCCAGUACUUUUAACAAUGGCGAAAAAAAAAAAAGGUUAAUCUCAUGCUUGAUUGAGUCGCAGGUGCCUAGAUAUUUGGUCAAGCAUUAUUCCAGGUGUGUCUAUGAGGAUGUUUUGAUAAAGUGGACAUUUGAGUUCACAGACUGAGUAAAGCCAAUUUUCCUCCCUAAUGUAAGUAAUCAGUUGCAUCAACCAGUCGGGUGAAGGCCUGAAUAGAACAGUAAAGCCCACCCUCUCAGGAGUUAAGAGGGCACCUUUUCCAACCAACCACCCUGAAUUGCACUCUCAGUCUUUUCCUGCCUUUAGACUCAAACUGAAAUCCUGACUCUUCUUGGUGUUGAGCUUACCAGUUUUUGGAUUGGAACUAUAUCAUCAGCUUUUUUGACUCUCCAGUUUGCCAAAUGCAAAUAUUUGGGGGCUUCUCAGACUCNAAGAAAGAAUUUUAGGUAUUUAUACACACACACACAUAUGUAUAUGUAUACAUACACGCAACCAACCUAUUGAUUCUGCUUCUCUGGAGAGCUUAAUACACCCUCCUUGGUGUAGGUGGGUCACAUCCAAUCAGUUGAACGCCCUAAGGGCAAAGACUCAGGCUUCUCAAAGAAAAAAAUUCUGCCUCAAACCUGCAAAUGAUAAACCCUGCAUAAGUUUCCAGCCUGCCUCAAAACUGCACAGUUUGAACUUGCCAGGCCCCACAAUCACAGGUCAUUUCCUUACCCAGGCAAUCUCUAAAUGUUUAAGUAGGUAGGUAGGCAGGUACCAAAGUAAGUAGACAGGUGCCUGGGUGUAUAGAUCUAUGUCAUUUUAUUGGUUUUCUCCAGAGAACUCUGACUAAUGUACCAUUUUUUUGCUAUGUUUGUGCAUUUUCAACAGGGUGAGUCAUACCUAAAGUGACCAAUCAGGGAUUUGGUGGAGGGGGGAAGAAUCACUAAUUUGCUAAGUACAAAAGAGCUGACAUUCAUCUGUUUAACACAGCAAAUGUAAGAGUAAAACAAAACAAGCACACCAAGUACACAAAUCAAUUAAUGAUAAACUCAUUUCAAUGACAACUUUCUCAGGACAUACUGAAGAAUUCCUUUCCUGAUGUUGUUUAUCUUUACACUUGCGUUCGAGUCUUAGUUUUGUUUAAAUUGCUAAUGAGACGACUAGGACAUUCCUACCCAAGUUUCACAGUUUGCUUACAGUAUUUUUCUGAGUGGGUGCCAGAAAAAAAUACACUAAAUUCCUCAAAACAUUUCCCUAAAAUAACAGUGUUCUUCCUUUUCAUUCCCCCGCCCCACUCCCAAAUGAAGCCAGCCGGACUUCCUCCAGUGCAUUACUCUGUACUAGAGACGUAACAACAACAACCUUGUCUUCCUUCCCACUGACACAGGGACAGUAGAUAUAAAGCCUUUUCUCAAUGAAUCACACAACUAAAUGAAUUAGACAGCCUGUGUUGACAACCAAUAUUCAAAAAUAUUAAUAUCAUACAAUUUAAAUAAGAGAUCUAUUCUCCACAGGAGCAUGUUGUGCAUUUCCCUAUUUCUACUAAAUAACACAUCCAGUGAGGUGGAGCCCCGUUAUGUGUUUAUCAUUAUGUUUACCUGAACAGAGAAAGAAACCACAAGAAAAUGUUUGCUAUACUGUAAUUAGUGUGAUCACAACCAAGGCAGCCUGUUCUCACUGCAACAUGAAACUGCGCAGUGACCAUGACUGCUUCCUCGAGCGCUGUGUCAAUUCACUACAUAGUAAAGUGAUUUUUUAAGCGCUUUUACGGGUGCAAUUACCUUUUAUUUAUUUAUUUUUUUAGGACAUAUACUGAAGAAUUCCUUUCCUGAUGUUUCUGUAGCUGUGGCAUAUGGAAGCUCCCAGGCUAGGGGUCGAAUCAGAGCUGCAGCUGCUAGCCUACACCACAGCCACAGCAACACUGGAUCCAAGCUACAGCUUGCGGGAAGGCCGGAUCCUUAACUCACUGAGUGAGGCCAGGGAUUGAACCUGCAACCUCACGGACACUAUGUCAGGCUCCUAACCUGUUGAGCCACAACAGGAACUCCACCAAUUCUUGAUACUUGGUGAUUUCCAGUGAGUACCCCAUCAUUAGUUAUGUUCUACUACACUGGCUUUGAAAAAAGAAUGAAAUCACAUUCUGAGAAUGGGGAAGUAGAAAAUGUCAGAGUAGAAUAAUUAUGGAUAGAACUCUGAGCCAAAGGUGUGGAAUUUAGAUUUGGGGUUCUCCCUCUUGUGGCUCAUUGGUAUUAUCUUUAAAACGGGGGGAAUAGAAAUCUACCUACCCAUCACCUUAUGGGGAAACGGUAAAGAUUUAAAAGGAAAACAAUUAUAUUUAGAGUAUGAUUUUUUUUUUAUAUAUUCUCAAAGAUCCAACACUCAUCCCUUUAUAUUCCAGAGCUGAAAAUGUCACUCCCACACGCCCAAGCAUCAUCUUCGAGAAUUGCUUUUAACAGCAACAACAAAAAAAUUCAGUCAGAAGAACUUUUGUAAAACGUGUUCCCCUUCCUUGCUCCUUCCAGUAUGUACACAUAUCACUUACCAAUUGGCAAUGAUUUACGUACCCAUGAAUACUAUGGUUUUUACAUUUUAACUUAACAUUAACGUCAUUAUGCUACAUAUGUUAUUCUACAAUUUGACACUCACCUUUAUGAGACCUACCCAUUUUAAGUCAGAUAAUUCUAGUCCAGUCGUUUUAACUAACAUUUAGUAUUCCUUAUAUGAACACAAUCCAUUUAUCUGGUCUUCUACUUCUGGGCAUUUGGGGUUUUUUUGUAUUAUAAACAAUCCUAUACUUAACAUUUAUGUAAAUAUCUUCUUUCACAACCCAGAGUUUCUAUGCAAGGAUGUAAAUGCACGUAUAACUUUCAUUCUGUCACCUGUAGCUUACUGGCUCAUAUAUACAAACAGAAAGUAUUUCUUUUUAGUCCAAGGUUCUGACUUUGUCUAUGACAUCAAGAUUCUUUACUGACUUGUUUUGUAUUUUCUAUGUCCUUUCUAAUACUGGUCCACCUAGGGUCUCAAUUACCAAGAAAAGGAAGUUGAAGCUUUUUUUCUGUGAUUGUGAAUUUGCCCAUUUCUCUAUUUGAUUUACUUAUAGAUCCCGAGACCAUUUUAUUAGGUGCAUGCAGCUUUAGAACUGUUCCAUAUUACUGGUGGAUUACUCCUUCUGCAAUUAUUUAGGGACAAAGAUGACUGCAAGACCACCUACAAUCUUUCGGGGAUUUCUAUGAACGGUCUGUCUCAUGUGGGCGAUUAGCAAUUAUAAUAAAGCUGAGCUAAGACUCAAGGAAGAAGUUGAUCAGGUUUGAGAGUGAAGUCCUAGUGAGCUCAUGCUGCGCACUAUCCAACCAGAUGUGUCAGGCAUAGAGGUGAAAUUCCAAUUGACACCUGCCUCGUUAUGAUUUAGUUGGGUCCCAAGUCAGGAGAAAGAGAGUUAUUUAUUGAUUCCCUAAUAUCUCAAAAAGACUCCCUCCAGAGCAGAUUUGGGGUCUUGGACUUUUCCCAAGGCUAUUACGAACACAAAACUAAUUUGGGAGUUAAUUUCUCAGCCUGCAGCUCCUGGAACACAUGGGAAUUACAAAUAUAAAUUUCAAAUUCACAGGAAAUCAGGUACUUAAGUCCAAGUUUUUCUAGGAUGACUUUUCUUUUCCUACCCAGGACCCAGAGAAAGACAGAUCCAUUUCCUUCUGCUUUCCUGUAUGAGGGCAAAGACUCUUUAGAACACCCUGGCUCAGAGAAUACAGCCUUUUCAGAGUUCUUAUCUUAUGGAGGGGGAGCAGUUCCAACUCUCUCACUUCUAACUCCACAUGAGCUUUAUAACCCAAGUGUUGACCUUCUACCAAGGGCAUCACAGAGCGCUUCCCGAUUGUCACCUCCUAGUUUUCAGUCCCCUUCCUGUUUCGAGUAUUUGGUGGCUUCCUUUACCUUCCCUUAGAACCUCUGCCAGGCAUUUACUAGGAAUUUUGUUGUAUUUCACCUAGAAAUUCUUGAUAUGGGGCGGUGGGGGGGGGGGGGCUUUCAGUUUAUCUGCUAUGUGCAGUUCUGCCAGAACUAGACAUGGUCACACAGGAGAGGCACUUGAAGCAGCACCUGGCACAUGGUGUAACUGUUGUACACUUGUUUGCUGUAACUAAAAACACUCUCUCCUCCCACUUACUUUGCAUAGAAGCAACACACAUGGCAUCACUGGUGUUUUAUACUCCCUGAAUGAAUAUACAAAACCAUUCCUUUUAAUAGUAAACCAAUUUCUGUAAAGUAAAUCUAAUAGGUUUUUUUAAAAUUCCAUUUUCCAUUAGGGGCUCUUUGUUACCAGAGUUCCAAUAAAUUUUUAUUUUAAAGCACAAACUGAAUAAAACCUCAAAAAGCAAUAAUAUGCACUAAUACCAUGUCAUCCACAGUGAAUUGAGGUAGAUACAAUUCAGAAAGUUAGUGGUUUUUAUGAAUCAUCCUACAUAUCGAAAGUGAAAUAGGGGCAAACAUAAUUCAAGCCAGGGAAGCAUCUCAUCUGUUCAGGGACUCACCUGUGGACUCACACAAUCAUUUAUUUUGUUAAAAUUUGUGACAUUUUCUAUGAUCAAGUUUUUCAUCCAUAGUUGCUUAACAUAACUUUCUCUUUCUAUUCACGCCUUCCUCAUGUUGGGCAGUGUCAGAAAAUCCAGACAUUUUGGAAAUUCAGCCCAGAGAACUUGAGGCAGAUCCAAGUUAAGUUUGGGUUUAGUAAGAGGUAUUUAUAAAGUCUGCAUGGCAUUACAUGGUUAGCUUCCAUGCCUAGUUAAGUUAUUACUAGUCACCUCAGUACAUAAUGACCUCUCAAAACACCUCUACCACCCUCUCACCUGCAUGGACUCAGAGUUGACUGACACCAGAAGUACACGCAUAGCAGAGGAAGCAUGUUUUGAAAUGUAAUGAAGAAAGGCACUAGUCUUUGGAAAAUUAUUCUGAUAGUUACACAUGGAAAACUGAAAGCUGAAAAUCUAUUUCUCAUGGACACUAGGUCAAAAGAACCCUAUUUAAGAGACUUGACAAUAUGACAUAUUAUAAACAGAACUUAUUUUUUUUGCCUUUGUAGCAAAUCUUAGGAAACAGGAUUUAUUAUGAUUUUGGUCUUAGGGCUCAUGCAUAUAUCCCUACUACAACCGGUAAGUAGGUUUGUAGGAGAGGUCAUAUGAUACCAAGGCAGAAUCACAAAUACCAACACAUUGUGGUCAAACAUCCCAGAGGAAAGGUUUAAUUAUCUUUCUAUUCUUCCUAUAGAAAAUAUUAUGAAAUCAAUGUUUUAGGGAAAGGCAGCCAAUGAGCAAGCAGUCAAAAUAUGAACAGAAAAAAAGUACUAUAUAAUCAGCUAUAAAAUUUUUUUCUGGAUUAUGUGAUGUUUGUGAUAUUUAUCAGCUCUUUCAGAUGUGCAGUUUUUGUGUUUUAUUGUUCUAAAAUGGUUAAUACCAAUAUUAAUUUUUGCAGUUAAAAUUGUGUAGCAAAAGUUCCAAAACUACAUAUGCUUCAGAUCCCACAAAAGCCAACCCAGAGAUAAAAACAGAAAUGGAAGCAACUAGACUAAAAGUGAAAUUUCUUUCACUUUUUGAUGAAACAAUGAGAUUUAAGGCCCAAUUUUAAGAAAACUUAAACUUUUGAUAAUGCAUAGCAAAUAAGUCUUUUUAUUCAUGUAUCUGGUAAGAAUGACUUUUUAAGAAAAGCAACUUUUUAUGUUUUAAGUUAUAUCUGCAUUGUUCCUCUGCAGGAUUUAAAAUAGGAAUUAAAACCAUUUAUAAAUAUCUCAAACUUUAACUCUAGGGUUAUAAUCAUUGUCUUAAAGCUGCCUUCUUUAAUAAAAGAAGCCAAAUGUUAAAUUACAACUCCCAACUUGAAGUAAAAGAAAUUAGUGUAUUAAAGUUUAUGGUUCAUGGGGCUCUCUGAUUAAUAAAUUUUGUUCAGAAGGCUAUAAAAUAUUAAAAAAAAUCCUACCCAGUCUAUAUAGAAAUUGAUACUCAGUAAUGGAGUAUAAAAGGUAAUUUAGAAAUGUAAUCUUAGACAAGUAAUGCAGCAUUUCUAAAAAGGAACACCAUCCUUAAAAAUUAGCAGAAGGCACAAAUGAACCUUUCCACAGAAAAGAAAAUCAUGGACUUGGAGAAUAGAUUUGUGGUUGCCAAGGGGGAGGGAGAGGGAGUGGGGUGGUUGGGGAGCUUGGGGUUAACAGAUACAAACUAUGGCCUUUGGAAUGGAUUGGCAAUGAGAUCCUGCUGUGUGGUACUGGGAACUAUGUCUAGUCACUUAUGAUGGAGCAUGAUAAUGAGCAAAAAUAGAAUGUGUACAUGUAUGUGUAACUGGGUCACCAUGCUGUACAGUAGAAAAAGAAAUUGUAUUGGGGAAAUAACAAAAAAAAAAGUGUAAAAGGCAAAAAAAAAAAAAAAAAAAA
rnacentral:lncRNA from 1 species